UGGGGAAUUUUGCGCAAUGGGCGAAAGCCUGACGCAGCGACGCCGCGUGUGCGAUGAAGGCCCUUGGGUCGUAAAGCACUGUCGAUCGGGACGAAAGCUCCCGGGCUAACAUCCCGGGAGAUUGACGGUACCGGUAAAGGAAGCACCGGCUAACUCUGUGCCAGCAGCCGCGGUAAUACAGAGGGUGCGAACGUUGCUCGGAAUUAUUGGGCGUAAAGCGCGUGUAGGCGGCUCGUUAUGUCGGCUGUGAAAGCCCAUGGCUCAACCAUGGAAGUGCAGCCGAAACUGGCGAGCUAGAGUCCUGGAGAGGGUGGCGGAAUGCCCAGUGUAGAGGUGAAAUUCGUAGAUAUUGGGUAGAACACCGGUGGCGAAGGCGGCCACCUGGACAGCGACUGACGCUAAGACGCGAAAGCGUGGGGAGCGAACAGG
rnacentral:rRNA from 1 species